AUAGAUACCCGGGUAGUCCACGCCGUAAACGUUGGGUACUAGGUGUAGCGUCCCGAUCAACGGAUGCCGUGCCGAAGCUAACGCAUUAAGUACCCCGCCUGGGGAGUACGGCCGCAAGGCUAAAACUCAAAGGAAUUGACGGGUCCCCGCACAAGCGGCGGAGCAUGCGGCUUAAUUCGAUGCAACCCGAAGAACCUUACCUGGGCUUGACAUCACGGGAAAAGCCGUAGAAAUACGGUGUCCGUAAGGGCCCGUGACAGGUGGUGCAUGGCUGUCGUCAGCUCGUGUCGUGAGAUGGUUUGGGUUUAAGUCCCGCAACGAGCGCAACCCUUGUCCUAUGUUGCCAGCACGUAAUGGUGGGGACUCAUAGGAGACUGCCGGGGACAACUCGGAGGAAGGUGAGGACGACGUCAAGUCAUCAUGCCCCUUAUGCCCAGGGCUGCACGCAUGCUACAAUGGCCGGUACAAUGGGCUGCGAACCCGCGAGGGGGAGCUAAUCCUCAAAGCCGGCCUCAGUUCGGAUUGGAGUCUGCAACUCGACU
rnacentral:rRNA from 1 species